rnacentral:lncRNA from 1 species
AGAUGUAUACUAAAAGCAGGGAGAGAUGAAGGUGCUGGUAAACAUCUUCAAUUUUGUUUGAUAAAUUCUGUUAUUUUCAAAUUUAACUGCCUGUUAAAUUACAAGUCUGUCAAACAGAAUUGAAAAGAACCCCCUACAAUUCAGACAUAAUUUCAGCCCAAAAUUUACCAAGAAAAUUGAUUAAAUGAAACAGGAAAAAAGAAAAAGAAGAAUGGCUGAAUCUAGGUAAUAAAUUCUUUAUGAAGUAUUUUUUGGACUUCAUCUUAUAAGUUCACAGUCUGAAUAUCCACUUCUGAACUCCUAUCUUAGUACGUGCCAACAGGGAUUUAUAUCUCCAGUGACUGUAUCCAAAAAAUCCAUCAUCCUGAUUUAUUUUCUGUCUUUUGCCACAUUAGUUGUAAAUCUAAAGGGCAUGACGUGGUGUCCCCAAGUAUCCUGUAAAAAGCAAAAUUGCAAAAAGACAAGAAAAUAUAAAAGCUUCUGCUUGUAUGUUCAUUAGAACCAUGGCAAGAGAGGUAUCUCCUUGGGACAGUGCCAUUAUCCUAGCUUUACAGCUGACACCAAAAUAGUACAGUAACUGGAUGCGCAUAAAUAGCAUAGAUAAUUAUAUUCCCUUUCAUUAAUUCCAAAACAUCUGUGCAUGAGUCCACAGUUAUAGUAAGACUUUUCAAAUGUCAAAGUGAUGCUGGUAAACCAAUACUACCAUGCAUGACACUAUGCUAUGAUGAGCUCUCAGGUCAGCCAGGGCUACCUCAUGGGUGGCCCCAGUCUCAUCCUGCUCCAAGUGGUCCUGUUGACCACAGCCAGUGAAAGAGCUCAUGUGGGGACAGCAUUCUAGUUCCUCAGCUGCAUUUACACAUACAAGCUCUCCUCAAUGUCUUGCUGGUUCAUAGAAUACUGCUUCGCUGACAUUUGCUGUAACUUUUUGUUUUGCUGAGUCAGUUUCCCUUAAAAUAAAGAUUUGCUCACAUGAACAUCAGCACUUUCUCCAAGUGACCUCAUAUUCAUUAACCUCUUUGGAGAUAUUAUUUGUAAGCUAGCAGGCAUGUCUCCUCUUUCUUCUAAAUUUAGUUCCUUGUACUUUCAUCUUCCUUUUUUGACAAAGAGAAAGCUGAUAAAUCCCUAUUUUCAUUUAAGUUACAAGAUCUCCCAAGCUCUUCUUUAUAUUUUUCAUCUCAGAAUUAGUGUUGUAUUUUGUCUAGAUUUUAUUUUUAUGUUUAAAACAUAAAAUAUAUGUUUUAAAAUAUAAUGUUUUGAAAUAGAAACAAAUGGGAUUAAAUAACUUUUUAUUCGUGAGGCACAAUUUAACAAUGAGCUGAAAAUGGAUUAUAACUGUGACCAACAAUUAGGCAAAAUUCUUUGAUGGCUUCAUGUCUUUGUUAUUGAAAGAAGGACUUAACAGAAGAUGUGAAUGACACAAAUGUACAUAAUUUUAGAACCAAAAUUAGUAUCUGGGAAAAGCAUAUGCCUAAAUUCAAGGAUGUUUCUAAGAUUUCAUUCAGAAAA